CGGAAAAACUAAAAUCAGUGUUCCAAUUACAAAGGAGUUAAUGAUUUUAUCAUAGCAGAUAAAUGAAACAUCUAUUGUUAUAAGUAGAGGCAAUGAGGGGCCCAAGAAUUUCUUAUGAAAAAGAGGAAACUAGUGUGAGCUCAAAGAUCUGGAGAUAACUCCAUAAAGGAAGUGGCAAGAAAAGCCAAUCUUGAAUGAGGGAUAUAAUUUGGACAUAUGGAGGGAAGAAAACAGUAAGCCUUUGGGGAAAAUCAUAAAUAAAACAAGAGGGCUGGGAUAAGCAAGUUAGGACCAUAAGCAUGUCUGUAGUAUCAGACAUCAAAAUUUUGCAGGCUUGGGCUUGGCUGUAUUAGAUUAAUAAGUAGUUCCAUAAAGCACACUGUUUUUGUACUUCCAAUUUCUAAAGAAAAUCUGAGAAUUGUGUUUAUAUUCCUCCUACAUUUAGUCUCUCUUGCUCUCCUUUCAAUAUGCUUUCAACCUAAAUACUUGGAUGUCUAAUAACUCUUUAGGACUUAAGGGAGUCAAAUCUUGAAGGACAUUUCAAGGAAUUUCAAAUGUCUAUUUUUGAUGUUCACAUUCUAAAAUUUCUCAAAGUAUUGCAAACUUGAGGAAUAUUGGAGGAAAUAUAAAGAAUGCUCAUUGAAGUUCCCUUUUUCCAUUUCGUUUUAGGUGAUUCAGGCUUUCCUUCCCGAUGCCCCAACACAGCUGUUCUUAGUAUCUCUGCACUGAUGUAUCUUCACAUUCAUGUGACAUUUAUGAAGGGGAAACACAAGGAUUCAAACUAAAGAAAUUAUACUCCUGAAGUGGAAUUUCAGAUAACUUCCAGUGUGGGUUGCAGGAGUUGGAAUGAUGAGGCAUGCAAGGAGACCAGCUCAAGAAGUAAGUGAAUCUACUUGUGACAUCUUCUUUUUUGCUGAGGAAGAUUCACCCUGAACUAACAUCUGUGCCAAUCUUCUUCUAUUUUGUAUGUGGGUUUCCACCACAGCAUGACUGCUGAUGAGUGGUGUAGGUCUGUGCCUGGGCCGCCGAAGUGGAGCACACCAAGCUUAACCACUGGGCCACAGGGCUGGCCCCUACUUGUGACAUCUUUUUAUCUCAAGUUAUAAGUGGCUUACUUUUCUGCCCAAAGAGAAGUUGUGUCAUGUACACUGGAUGACAUCCUGUCAUCUUUAAAGUUAUAUAUUCAUAUGUAGUUAAUGUCUUAGGAGUAUGAAACUGCAAAAUAUAUUUCUUUUAGAAAAGACAGUAUAUUAAUAGCAAAUUGUUGUAAAUAUCAAUAGCCACACAUAGGAAUUUAAGCAAUUGAAAACGUAAUCUUAUACCUUAUAGUAAAUCUUAUACCAGUAGUAAAGUCUUUUAGGGGAUUUUGUCAGUAAAUUCAAGAGAAAAUGCUUCUUUCUUACUAGACAUCUAAAGGCUAGAAGAGAAAUAAAGGCAUGUUUUCUUGAAAUCA
rnacentral:lncRNA from 1 species